rnacentral:rRNA from 1 species
AUUGAACGCUGGCGGCAUGCCUUACACAUGCAAGUCGAACGGCAGCGGACCUUCGGGUGCCGGCGAGUGGCGAACGGGUGAGUAAUAUAUCGGAACGUACCUUUCAGUGGGGGAUAACGUAGCGAAAGUUACGCUAAUACCGCAUAUUCUGUGAGCAGGGAAGCAGGGGAUCGCAAGACCUUGCGCUGAUUGAGCGGCCGAUAUCAGAUUAGCUAGUUGGUGAGGUAAAGGCUCACCAAGGCGACGAUCUGUAGCGGGUCUGAGAGGAUGAUCCGCCACACUGGAACUGAGACACGGUCCAGACUCCUACGGGAGGCAGCAGUGGGGAAUUUUGGACAAUGGGCGCAAGCCUGAUCCAGCCAUGCCGCGUGAGUGAAGAAGGCCUCGG